GAUGAACGCUGGCGGCGUGCUUAAUACAUGCAAGUCGAACGGUGAAGCGCCUUCCUUUUUGGUGGGUGUGGAUGAGCGGAGAACGGGUGAGUAACACGUGAGUAAACUGAUCCCCCUUUCUGGAUAACCGCAUGAAAGUGUGGCUAAUACUGGAUAUUCUGGGUCUGUUGCAUGAAGGGUCAGGGAAAGAUAUUGUUUCGGUGGUGGAUGGCUUCGCGGCCUAUCAGCUUGUUGGUGGGGUGAAGGCCUACCAAGGCGGUGAGUGGUAGCCGGCCUGAGAGGAUGGACGAUAAAACUGCGAAGGGAAGGUCGCGCAGACUGCGGGAGGAGGCAGCAGGGAAGAAUAUUGGACAAUGGACGCAGUGCUGAUGCAACGACGCCGGGUGGGGGAAGGAGGCCUUCGCGUUGUGAACUUCUUUCACGGAUGAAGAAAGCCGGCAGCAUUUGUGAGUGAGUUGACGGUAGCUGAUUAAGAAGCGCCGGCUAACUACGUG
rnacentral:rRNA from 1 species